rnacentral:rRNA from 1 species
GCCUAAUACAUGCAAGUCGAACGGUGUAGCAAUACACAGUGGCGCACGGGUGCGUAACACGUAUGCAACCUACCUAUCAUUGGGGGAUAGCCUUUGGAAACGGAGAUUAAUACCGCAUAAGACAGUAACAUGGCAUCAUGUAGCUGUUAAAGCUUUGGCGAUGAUAGAUGGGCAUGCGUCCAAUUAGUUAGUUGGUGAGGUAACGGCUCACCAAGACGAUGAUUGGUAGGGGAUCUGAGAGGAUAAUCCCCCACACUGGCACUGAGAUACGGGCCAGACUCCUACGGGAGGCAGCAGUAGGGAAUAUUGGGCAAUGGACGGAAGUCUGACCCAGCCAUGCCGCGUGCAGGAAGAAGGCGUUAUGCGUUGUAAACUGCUUUUUUAUAGGAAGAAGGAGACCUUGCGAGGUUUGGUGACGGUACUAUAAGAAUAAGCACCGGCUAACUCCGUGCCAGCAGCCGCGGUAAUACGGAGGGUGCGAGCGUUGUCCGGAUUUAUUGGGUUUAAAGGGUGCGUAGGCGGUUUAUUAAGUCAGUGGUGAAAGACGGUCGCUCAACGAUUGCAGUGCCAUUGAUACUGGUAGACUUGAGUUCGUAUGAGGUAGCUGGAAUGGAUAGUGUAGCGGUGAAAUGCAUAGAUAUUAUCCAGAACUCCAAUUGCGUAGGCAGGUUACUAAUACGAUACUGACGCUGAUGCACGAAAGUGUGGGGAUCAAACAGGAUUAGAUAACCCUGGUAGUCCACACUGUAAACGAUGAUGACUA